GCCUUUGUAGCACAGUGGCAGUGCGUUGGUCUUGUAAACCAAAGGUCCCGUGUUCAAUCCACGGCGGAGGCA
rnacentral:tRNA from 1 species